GGGCGAGUGGCGGAAUUUGGUAGACGCGCUAGGUUCAGGGUCUAGUGGCCGAGAGGCCGUGGGGGUUCGAGUCCCCCCUCGCCCA
rnacentral:tRNA from 1 species